rnacentral:lncRNA from 1 species
AUCUUGGUGUCUUCAUAAGAUUUGUAGUAGACAUCUUAAGGUUCAUUCCAGAAUUUGAAUCACGUGAAAACUAUUUUUCUAGAUUAAGUUAUGGUUUCUUAAAGUUUAGGGUCUAUAUCAGUAAAUUCUGAGAUUUGAACCAGUUGGCUUCUUUUCGAAAACUGUACAAAUUGGUUCGUUAUAUGAGUUUAGUGUCUUCAUGAAAGUUAUAGAUGACAUCUUAAAGAUCAUUUGAGAGUUGGGAUCUCUCAAAAAUAAUUUUUUCUACAAUUAGUUAUGAAUUUUUAAAGUUAGACGGGACGGGACGGGCCUGACGGGACUCAAAAUUUCAAUCCCGCGUCCCGUCCUAUUGUUUCUCUAAUGGGACGGGACGGGACGGGACCGGUGUUUUUAGUUUCAAAUCCCACCGGGAUCGGGACGGGACCGGGAUUUACGGGAUUUGUGCCCAGCCCUACUUUUUAUUUUACAAAUGGUGGUUUCUUCGUUUUACCAGAUAUGCAUGUCAUGCUUACUGGGUGUGGAUAAUUGAUAGAGCAACAAAUAUAUGCCAAAUGCAAGUUAACUUUAAGUCGUGAAGCUUUAUAUCUGCCCUUGGACAAUUGUGGUUGUAAUAUGUUGUUUGUAUGUUGAUCUUGAAGGCAGUAGUCACUCUACGAUUACGAUUAAUGCAAUAAUUAAUUAGAGCCACAUCUAUAUAACUGGCUAUAGCAAUUUCCCUGCUUGUUGUGUUUUUGUGAGAGUUCGACAUGUAUGUCAGUAUGUGCUCUUCUUAUAUAUAGUUGCUAUCGUUAUUUCCAUCAUUGUAACUCAGUUGCGAUCGAGUGGUAUUGUUUACUUUGUUUGGAGUAAUAAUUUUCAUGAUAUUUUUCUUAGAAAAAGAUUGUAAUGACAAGUAAUGAUGCCAGUUUUACAUCAUUCCCUGCCUUCAGAUUAGGAUGCAUGAUGAAUGGACCAGAUUCCAUAUAUAUCCUGAAGUGCUAUCCUAUAAAAAUAAAAUUGUUUUAAUUAACCAUGAUAUAUGAAGUUCUAACCCAAGUAACUGUUUUCAAGGGCUUAUUAUUAUACCUCUUACAAGCUAGCAAGAUAUAUAAAGCUACAUGAAACACAACCCAGAAUUGAAGCAAUAAAUUUUAAAUUGAGAAGAAAUUCAAUUUUCACAAUAAUUCGAGUAAACUAUUUGGUGAACUCUUGGCUUCAUCGAUCGUCUCCAGCUAGACAACUGCUGUCAG